rnacentral:lncRNA from 1 species
CACUUUGAACUCCUGCCGUAAUACUGUAAAUGUACAGCCACCUAUAUGAGAGACAGACGACACUCACUUGUUUUUGGAGAGAAAAUGCGUUAAGGCCAUAAACCUUUAACAGUGGAUGAAAAUCAUAGGAUCGUACAGCGUUAUGUGGAAUGAGCAUGUGGGUCAAGAGAAUUGAGGAUUACCCAUUCAAAGCAAAAAUCCUGGAAGUUUCCUUAAAUGCACCUUCGCUUUUAUUGAUUAUAUAUGCUUACUGGGUUGAUAUUAAGGUCGGAGACUAAACAAAACUCCAAAACAAUAAUGAAAGAGAGAAAGAAGCUACAAAGUGACUUUGAUCAGAACAGACACAGAAGCCCAUUCAGUACCAGGCAAAUCUUAAGUCAUUGAAGAGUUUGUUUGUUUAUUUGUUUGUUUGUUAAAUGUAUUUGCUGCCUAUCUUGCUGUGGGUCUAUUCUAGGUGGCUUUACAACAAUAAAAAGGAAGAAAUGAAAAGAGUGUAAACA